rnacentral:lncRNA from 1 species
UGAAAUGAAAUAUUUUUGAUUGUUUUUAAUUUCAAGGAACAUAUGAAGUCUUAUUUGCAAAUAUAAUAAUAAUCAAUAACAGUAAUAAUUCAAUUGACCAUAAAAUCUCUUUUUAUUUAUAAAAUUUGGAAGGAUUACACUGCGUACAAAUUCAGAAACCAAAAAUAUAAAUCUAAGAGAAAAGGCAAAUGCCAUGCUAAGGAUCCUUAGCAACUACAUCAGAUGAUCUUGCUACGGG